rnacentral:rRNA from 1 species
UACGGGGGGGGCAAGCGUUGUUCGGAAUUACUGGGCGUAAAGGGCUCGUAGGCGGCCAACUAAGUCGGACGUGAAAUCCCUCGGCUUAACCGGGGAACUGCAUCCGAUACUGGAAGGCUCGAGUUUGGGAGAGGGAUGCGGAAUUCCAGGUGUAGCGGUGAAAUGCGUAGAUAUCUGGAGGAACACCGGUGGCGAAGGCGGCAUCCUGGACCAACACUGACGCUGAGGUGCGAAAGCGUGGGGAGCAAACAGG